GCCUCUUCACCGAUAGGGGUCCAUGCCGCCUCGGAUCUUUCUUUUCUUCUUUUAUUCCAAAUUUUUCUGUCUAAGGCUCAUGAGCUCCGAACUCCAGAGUUUUCCAUGUUUGUAUUUCUCUGUUGGAGUGCUGCGAUGCAACAAUUCCUAGUUGUUUUUGUUUUGUAUUCUUGCACGUGGAGCAAAGCUGGUUCCCUGGCAUGGUAGGCAACGGCUGUUCGAAAUCUUUAGAGUCAUUUUCAGUUCCUCUUGCUGGUAGAGUUGCGGCGGCAUAGGAUGACACCAACGGGUUUCCAAGCAUUGAUGGAAGAUCUAUGACUCCAACACUGAUUUUUGCAUAGUGGAGAUUUGUGUGUGCACUAAAGUAGUCACUGUGUAAGGCGACAACGAUAUUGUGCGAGAAAUAUACAGCUUCUUGGUUUACGUCUCUUUCCCUCCAAGUGUUGUUUUGUUAUUGGUUAGUGAUCUGAGCAAAAUUGGCGUUGUUAGUGAUCUUCAAUAGGGUGCUGAAGUAUUGUCUAGCCAUUCCAGCAUUGCUUAAUUUUUUUGGUUUCUUUCCAAUUCUUGUCUAUCAUUCAAACGGACACCAAAGUAGUGGGGAGCAACAACAAUCUCUCGUUCUUUUUGUGUUGUUCCUCGGCGCGAUUGACGAGCAACAGUGGUUAUUCAAAGUGUCAUACAGUAAUUUUCCUUGGGAGAACCAAGUCCAGUGAACGACGUCCAUCCUCUAGCUUCUGAUCUUGCGGUGCGAAGAAUUUUGCUGAGGAUCGUGAGAGCGACAAGAUAAUUGCCCAUGUUGUUGUUUUUUGAGGAGAGCUGUUCAGCAAAUCCAAGAACUAAAGUGGCGGCAAUCCACUGCUACUUCAUCAGAUUUUUCUUUGUGUUGUAGGGACGGCCAAGCCUUAAUCCACGCUGCUUGAAGUCAAAGUGAAGACUAGCUGCCAUUGUCGACCUCUCUACCCAAUCAAGAAGAUCCAAGCAAGCUCCUAAGAAGACGUCCAUGUAAGGAGCCAGCUAUUGUGAAACGGAGAGAAUUUGGAGGAUCUAGGACGGAUGAAAGUCUCGAUUAGGAUAAGGUUGAGAGGAAUUAGGUUAGAAGGAAAAUUAGGUUUAAAUGGAUGAUUUUUGUAUUAGAUGGAAAUGAAUGAAUUGGAUGAAUAUUUUAAUUAAAGAUGAAGUUUGGGCUUGGAUGAUAA